rnacentral:rRNA from 1 species
UACAGAGGUCCCAAGCGUUGUUCGGAUUUACUGGGCGUAAAGGGUGCGUAGGAGGUUGGCAAAGUCGGAUGUGAAAUCUCACCGCUUAACGGUGAAAUUGCGUUCGAUACUGGUUGACUAGAGUACUGGAGGGGAAAGCGGAAUUCCUGGUGUAGCGGUGAAAUGCGUAGAUAUCAGGAGGAACACCAACGGCGAAGGCAGCUUUCUGGACAGUAACUGACUCUGAGGCACGAAGGCUAGGGGAGCGAACGGG